GAUGAACGCUGGCGGUGUGCCUAUACAUGCAAGUCGUACGCAUUCCCGUUUUUAAUUGAAGGUGCUUGCACCUGAUUGAUAAAACAUCGGAAUGAGUGGCGGACGGGUGAGUAACACGUGGGUAACCUGCCCAGAAGUGGGGGAUAACAUUUGGAAACAGAUGCUAAUACCGCAUAAUAGAUAGAACCACAUGGUUCUAUUUUGAAAGAUGGCCUUUGUGCUAUCACUUCUGGAUGGACCCGCGGUGUAUUAGCUAGUUGGUAAGGUAACGGCUUACCAAGGCAAUGAUACAUAGCCGAACUGAGAGGUUGAUCGGCCACAAUGGGACUGAGACACGGCCCAUACUCCUACGGGAGGCAGCAGUAGGGAAUCUUCCACAAUGGGCGCAAGCCUGAUGGAGCAACACCGCGUGAGUGAAGAAGGGUUUCGGCUCGUAAAACUCCGUUGUUAAAGAAGAACGUAUCUAAGAGUAACUGCUUAGGUAGUGACGGUAUUUAACCAGAAAGCCACGGCUAACUACGUGCCAGCCGCCGCCGUAA
rnacentral:rRNA from 1 species